UUUACAGGCUUAACACAUGCAAGUCGAGGGGCAGCAUUUUAGUUUGCUUGCAAACUGAAGAUGGCGACCGGCGCACGGGUGAGUAACACGUAUCCAACCUGCCGAUAACUCCGGAAUAGCCUUUCGAAAGAAAGAUUAAUACCGGAUAGCAUACGAAUAUCGCAUGGUAUUUUUAUUAAAGAAUUUCGGUUAUCGAUGGGGAUGCGUUCCAUUAGUUUGUUGGCGGGGUAACGGCCCACCAAGACUACGAUGGAUAGGGGUUCUGAGAGGAAGGUCCCCCACAUUGGAACUGAGACACGGUCCAAACUCCUACGGGAGGCAGCAGUGAGGAAUAUUGGUCAAUGGGCGAGAGCCUGAACCAGCCAAGUAGCGUGAAGGAUGAAGGCUCUAUGGGUCGUAAACUUCUUUUAUAUGGGAAUAAAGUUUUCCACGUGUGGAAUUUUGUAUGUACCAUAUGAAUAAGGAUCGGCUAACUCCGUGCCAGCAGCCGCGGUAAUACGGAGGAUCCGAGCGUUAUCCGGAUUUAUUGGGUUUAAAGGGAGCGUAGGUGGAUUGUUAAGUCAGUUGUGAAAGUUUGCGGCUCAACCGUAAAAUUGCAGUUGAAACUGGCAGUCUUGAGUACAGUAGAGGUGGGCGGAAUUCGUGGUGUAGCGGUGAAAUGCUUAGAUAUCACGAAGAACUCCGAUUGCGAAGGCAGCUCACUAGACUGUCACUGACACUGAUGCUCGAAAGUGUGGGUAUCAAACAGGAUUAGAUACCCUGGUAGUCCACACAGUAAACGAUGAAUACUCGCUGUUUGCGAUAUACAGUAAGCGGCCAAGCGAAAGCAUUAAGUAUUCCACCUGGGGAGUACGCCGGCAACGGUGAAACUCAAAGGAAUUGACGGGGGCCCGCACAAGCGGAGGAACAUGUGGUUUAAUUCGAUGAUACGCGAGGAACCUUACCCGGGCUUAAAUUGCAACAGAAUAUAUUGGAAACAGUAUAGCCGUAAGGCUGUUGUGAAGGUGCUGCAUGGUUGUCGUCAGCUCGUGCCGUGAGGUGUCGGCUUAAGUGCCAUAACGAGCGCAACCCUUAUCUUUAGUUACUAACAGGUGAUGCUGAGGACUCUAGAGAGACUGCCGUCGUAAGAUGUGAGGAAGGUGGGGAUGACGUCAAAUCAGCACGGCCCUUACGUCCGGGGCUACACACGUGUUACAAUGGGGGGUACAGAAGGCGGCUACCUGGUGACAGGAUGCUAAUCCCAAAAACCUCUCUCAGUUCGGAUCGAAGUCUGCAACCCGACUUCGUGAAGCUGGAUUCGCUAGUAAUCGCGCAUCAGCCACGGCGCGGUGAAUACGUUCCCGGGCCUUGUACACACCGCCCGUCAAGCCAUGAAAGCCGGGGGUACCUGAAGUACGUAACCGCAAGGAGCGUCCUAGGGUAAAACUGGUAAUUGGGGCUA
rnacentral:rRNA from 1 species